GCAGUAUAUGCAGUGGUUAAGAGCAUGACUUUGGAAUCAGACCUGGUCUGUGCCUCAGCGUGACCUCUUCCUAGCUAUGUGACCUUGAGCAAGUGAAAAUCAUCUGAGCUUCAGUUUCCCCAACUGCUAAAUGGAGCAACAGUACUUACCUCUGAGGCAACAUCAAGGUCUCUCAUCCUGUUUGAACUAGUGCUACCAGGGUGGACAUUUCUCAUGGUGCUGGCGGAAGCCCAAGACGGCAAGCCCAACUGUGCAAACACAUCACAGGCCUCUGCUUAUCAUGCCUACUAACAUCCCGUAGGACCAAGCAAGGCAUGUGGCUGAGCCCACCAUCGACGGGGCGGCCGAGGACACUCCUCUCAUAGAGAAGUUCAGAGAGAAAUCAGAAGCCAGGGUGGAACCGUAACUAAAUUGAUGAACAGACUCCACAAAGGGGGAUAAGAGCACAAGAUUCGAGGAGUACACAUGCAGAUUUGCUACCUGGGUAUAUUGAAUGAUGCUGAAGUUUGGGGUACACAUGAACCUGUUACCCAGGUACUGAGCACAGAACUCAACAGUUCAGUUUUUCAACCAAAAGGCGUAUUUAAAAAGUCACUACCAUUUAACUAAAAUGAUAGAGAAC